rnacentral:rRNA from 1 species
AGUGAGCGCUGGCGGUAGGCCUAACACAUGCAAGUCGAACGGCAGCACAGUAAGAGCUUGCUCUUACGGGUGGCGAGUGGCGGACGGGUGAGGAAUACAUCGGAAUCUACUUUUUCGUGGGGGAUAACGUAGGGAAACUUACGCUAAUACCGCAUACGACCUACGGGUGAAAGCAGGGGAUCUUCGGACCUUGCGCGAUUGAAUGAGCCGAUGUCGGAUUAGCUAGUUGGCGGGGUAAAGGCCCACCAAGGCGACGAUCCGUAGCUGGUCUGAGAGGAUGAUCAGCCACACUGGAACUGAGACACGGUCCAGACUCCUACGGGAGGCAGCAGUGGGAAUAUUGGACAAUGGGCGCAAGCCUGAUCCAGCCAUACCGCGUGGGUGAAGAAGGCCUUCGGGUUGUAAAGCCCUUUUGUUGGGAAAGAAAAGCAGCAGGUUAAUACCCCGCUGUUCUGACGGUACCCAAAGAAUAAGCACCGGCUAACUUCGUG